AUGGCAAAGUAUUGGUGGAGCAGCUCCAUAGAUAAGCGGUCUUUACAUUGGAUAUCCUGGGAUAAUCUAGCAACACCUAAGGAGAAAGGAGGAAUGGGUUUUCGGGAUUUAGGCAACUUCAAUCUGGCACUGCUAGGCAAACAAGGAUGGCGUCUGCUAACACACUCGGAAUCGCUUUGGUCUCGAGUUCUGAAGGGGAAAUACUUCCCAGCUUCUGAAUUUAUGCAAGCAGGAGCUCCAAAGUCGUCUUCAGCCACUUGGAAAGCCAUCAUUGCUGGA
rnacentral:rRNA from 1 species